AAGCAGGGGAUCGUAAGACCUUGCGCUUUUGGAGCGGCCGAUGCCUGAUUAGCUAGUUGGUGGGGUAAGGGCCUACCAAGGCAACGAUCAGUAGUUGGUCUGAGAGGACGACCAGCCACACUGGGACUGAGACACGGCCCAGACUCCUACGGGAGGCAGCAGUGGGGAAUUUUGGACAAUGGGCGAAAGCCUGAUCCAGCAAUGCCGCGUGAGUGAAGAAGGCCUUCGGGUUGUAAAGCUCUUUCAGUCGAGAAGAAAAGGUCGUGCCUAA
rnacentral:rRNA from 1 species